rnacentral:rRNA from 1 species
CGGGAACUCAGUGACAGGUGUUGCAUGGCUGUCGUCAGCUCCUGUCGUGAGAUGUUGGGUUAAGUCCCGUAACGAGCGCAACCCCUAUCCUUAUUUGCCAGCGCGUUAUGGCGGGAACUCUAAGGAGACUGCCGGUGAUAAACCGGAGGAAGGUGGGGACGACGUCAAGUCAUCAUGGCCCUUACGGGAUGGGCUACACACGUGCUACAAUGGCGGGUACAGAGGGCAGCAAUACCGCGAGGUUGAGCGAAUCCCACAAAGCUUGUCGUAGUCCGGAUUGGAGUCUGCAACUCGACUCCAUGAAGUCGGAAUCGCUAGUAAUCGUAGAUCAGAAUGCUACGGUGAAUACGUUCCCGGGCCUUGUACACACCGCCC